rnacentral:rRNA from 1 species
UACAGAGGGGGCAAGCGUUGUUCGGAAUUACUGGGCGUAAAGGGCGCGUAGGCGGCCCGCUAAGUCGAACGUGAAAUCCCCGAGCUCAACUCGGGAACUGCGUCCGAUACUGGCGGGCUUGAAUCCGGGAGAGGGAUGCGGAAUUCCAGGUGUAGCGGUGAAAUGCGUAGAUAUCUGGAGGAACACCGGUGGCGAAGGCGGCAUCCUGGACCGGCAUUGACGCUGAGGCGCGAAAAGCUAGGGGAGCAAACGGGG